UUCUGUGAGGUGGAAGAAAUUCCUUUUUCUCUAUGAAAAUUCACUCUGUCUCUAUACUGUGUGGCCAUGAGGAGAUCCUCUCCUCAGGAAUUUACGACCUCUCUCUGACCACAGAAGUCUGGUUGUAGGAGCAGAGAGCGGGGGAUGGUGCUCGCUGUACCCUAAGAGGGCAACGUCAUGACAGAGCUUUCCUGAAAUUUGAGAUCGCACUUACUAGUUUAUCAGAGGCAAAGCUGUAUGAUGGGUCUGGAACUGAAGUUGAUGGGGAUGUGUUUGACGAGGUGGUGAAAUGGCCAGAUCGUGGUGUUUUCAAGCUCACACUGAACAAUGAUGCUAAAGGUAUGUGCUGGUUUUCAAGUCUUGGUUACUUGUGGCAUCACUUUCAAAAUAGCCAUACAUUUGACAUGCCUGUAUUGUCGUCUUUGUGUAUUUCAGAAUAUUCCCUGAUAAGUCCUGCCUCUGCCAGUUCUGUUAUGGGAGGUUCAGACCAUGAGUCAGAUGAUACAAUCAUUUUGAGCAAGGGUGGAAGACCCUCACGAAAGCGUCACAGAUCUGAUGACGAAGCAAAAAUUCAUUCUUCAAUUCACUUUCCAUUAAAUUGAUUUUUUACUGUUUUCACAGCUAAUAGAGAGCAAACUAAAGAAAAAGCAUGGUGGAUAGGUUGUCAUUCAAAACUAAAACUCUGACUGGCUGCACCAGACGAAAAAUGAUAAAUAUCCUUGUUUCGGCGAUGACAGAGACUCACGGGGUUGAUGCGGCAGCACAAAAAAGGGCUCUGAUGACACCUCCUUCGCCGGAUCUGCCCCCACCUUCACCACCGGCUCUGCCUCUUGAGUGGAGGCCGGAUAGCUGGCUCGAAGAGAUGCCUUGCUUUCGGGCACCGCCCCAGAUGGGGAAGAGGGGGGGUCAUUGACGGCACGAUUUUAUCUCUUGACUUCUGAUUUCUGAACGAGACAUACUGAGACAAAUACCCUCUACGCUCCUUGUGCUGAAUACAUCCACUUCCUAACUGGAGUGGAUAAAUAGCAUCAGUGGUGUUACAAAGGGGCUUGAUCUCCAACUGUUCUCUUCACUAAUCAGUAAAUCAUAGUACACAAACUUCUAGUAGGAGAAACAGAUAAAGUGAUUUGGCUAAACCGGUAGAGCAAUUGUGAGUUGAAGAACAUACUCUCUGGGAACCAACCAGGUCAUUCUACACUAAGGUAAUUAACAGCCUGUUGUAAUACAUAUAUAAGGUAAUUAACAGCUUGUUGUAAUACAUAUAUAAGGUAAUUAACAGCUUGUUGUAAUACAUAUAUAAGGUAAUUCACUGCUUGUUGUAAUACAUAU